CUUAUGCAAUAGGUUUACUAUAUUUGUUGUAUGGAAUGAUUGUAAGGUGUACAUGUCUAGCGGGCAGAUGUUAUCUGACCUUGACCUCAUUUUCAUGGUUCAGUGGUUAUAGUUAAGUUUUGGUCUGUUUUUCUCAUACUUUAUGCAAUAGGUUUACUAUAUUUGUUGUAUGGAAUGAUUGUAAGGUGUACAUGUCUAGCGGGCAGAUGUCAUCUGACCUUGACCUCAUUUUCAUGGUUCAGUGGUCAAAGUUAAGUUUUUGAGUUUUGGUCUUUUUAUCUAAUACUGUCAUAGAUCAACUAUAUUUGGUGUAUGGAAAUAUUUUAUGAUCUAUAUGUCAGUUGUGCAGGUUUUUUUUUACCUUGACCUGGUUUUCACGGUUCAUUGCUACAUAACACAGAUCAAAACUUAAGCGUUCUGGAGUGAUGCCACUUUUAGAAUAAAAAAUGUUGAAAUUUUCGUUUCCGUGUUCUGCAUCCCUUGCAUGGACACAUUUUCCAUUUGUUUUAAACUCACUUGGGCCCAACUUGAUUUGUUAAGUCCUUCCAAUUUUACUUUCUUAAAUGACUAAAAUUUCAAAAAUGUAAAGGUAUGUCAUCAUGGUCAUCUUGCUUUGCUUGGCCGUACGUUUUAUGUUUUACUUGGAAGCAUUCACCAAAUUCAAUAGACAUAAUGCAGAAGGAGGAGGGUCUUUUCAUAAAAAGUGUAGUGUACACUGUGCAACAUCAAUUGUUCAGUUUUAAUACUAGUUGUAGUAUUCAAGUUGAAAAGGUAACACAAAACUGGGAUACAUAUGAUAGCGGGUCAAUUGGAUAUCGAUUUAUCUUGCGUAAUUCUCAUUCUGCUAGAAAAAUCGUGCCAAACUUGAACUGUCGCCGAGCUCGCCGAGAACAUGAACCAGUCUCAUUAUUUGGUCAAAUAACUUUGACCCGCCUUCUCCAAAACAAAACACACAACAGUAAAUGGGUAGAUAUUUAACAUUAAACAUUAAGAUUAUAACACUAACGAAAUGAUUUUUUUUCAAGCCUAACUAAUAAUGAUUUUAGAAACAAUAUGUGUAAACAUCGGUGUAAAAUUCACGCAAGUUGUGAAAUUGUAAAAACAAAGGGGUACGGCGCACUUCUGAUAAGGCAACUUCGAAUAUAAGAACCGAAGCUGACACCCCCCCCCCCUUUCCCGAAAGUCAGCCUCCCUAAUGGUUUUUUGAACCUUGAUCUUAAUUAUAACUCAGGUGCACGAAAGUGAAUAUGGGAAAUACCGACUUCCAUCCGUCCGUCUUGUGAAACCGCUGCCAUGUGUACAAUCUUGCCCAGAUUUUGUGAAAUUUUAUCAUCUGCAGCAAUUCUUUCACCAGCGAGAUAAAUCCUGAUAAAAAUAUUUUUAAAAACAAUUAUGCCCCUUUGAAUAUAAAUUAUUAAUGCAUCCCAUUCAGUUCUGAAGCUUUUAUUCUCUCGAGAUAAAUAAAAAAGAAAAAAAAGAAAAAAAAGUGCUUUGUAGUUUUGCCCUGUAUCUUGGAUAGAUAAAAUAUGUCCAAUGGGGACAUGGAACUCUGAUCUCCUAUCGAAAACCACAUUAAUAUUUCACCUAGAUGGAAGAAGGUAUUAUUAUAACCCCAGAAUGAUAACACUUCAUUACAAAUAGAGUUUUUAUCAUGUCGUAUUUCGUGUCACAUGAAACGAUAUCAGGAUAUGGUUUCAGAUUUUUUUUUUGAAACUAGUAACAUUGCUGUGUCACUGAGCUCUGCUUGGCUCAAUUUCAGACCAAACUUGUCCGCAGGUCCGUUUCAUCAUCAUCAUCUGCACUUGCCGUAGCCGACGACGUGCUACGAAUUAGAAUGUUUACGAAAAAGUCGAGAACACUGUUCUGCGAUUUAACUAGUAUAAUAGUGCAAGGAUUUAUCUAUCUUGUUUACACAAAGGAAAACCCACGCAUACUGCUUCGGAAUGAUUGGACGCUAUUCUCAUAUCCCUCACCCUGUUACAUUCGGAUACCACCAUGUGUAUAUGCUGCCACUCUUGCAUUAUAUAUUUAUUUAAAAAAAAUGUUUUUGUCAAAAUGAUGUGGAUGCUUGAGCAUCUGAGCAUACAUGCAAGCUACGCCACUGUCGAUUUAUUUUGCGUUAUUCUCAUUCUGCUAGAAAAAAUGUAGCCAAACUUUGAACUAGUCUCAAAUAAGAUCUGCGCCAUGAGAACAUGAUACACCAGUCUACAUUUCUGCUCGACUUAUUGGUCAAAUGAACUUUGACCCGCCUUUCCCCCCAAAACAAACACACAACAGUAAAUGGGUAGAUAUUAAGACAUUAAAACAUAAGAGAUUAUAACACUAACAAAAGUGAUUGUUUUUUCAAGCCUAACUAAUAAAAUGAUGUUUAGAAACCAAUUAUGUGUAAACAUCGGUGUCACGAUAUAGCACGGAAGUUAUGAAAUUGUAAAGCACAAAGGGAUACGUUAACACUUCUGAUAACGGUUCAAUGAUUUUACAGUCGGCAGUAUUUGAUUUUAGUUGAAAGUCUUCAUACACCCAAAAACAUGAUGCACACUGAGGUACCCACUGACACAACACAUGAAACAUGUGGCAAUACUAAGUUAGGCUACCUCAACUUGAUAUGUUUAACUAAGUGUGCGUCCUCAGUCGAUAUUUGAACAAACAACAUUCUAUAAUUUGACGUUCAAAGUGUGAAAAAAAUGAGACGUUUUUUAAACAAUUUA
rnacentral:lncRNA from 1 species